rnacentral:rRNA from 1 species
GAUGAACGCUGGCGGCGUGCCUAAUACAUGCAAGUCGAGCGAACAGACGAGGAGCUUGCUCCUCUGACGUUAGCGGCGGACGGGUGAGUAACACGUGGAUAACCUACCUAUAAGACUGGGAUAACUUCGGGAAACCGGAGCUAAUACCGGAUAAUAUAUUGAACCGCAUGGUGCAAUAGUGAAAGACGGUUUUGCUGUCACUUAUAGAUGGAUCCGCGCCGCAUUAGCUAGUUGGUAAGGUAACGGCUUACCAAGGCAACGAUGCGUAGCCGACCUGAUAGGGUGAUCGGCCAGUCUGGAACUGAGACACGGUCCAGACUCCUACGGGAGGCAGCAGUAGGAAAUCUACCGCAAUGGGCGAAAGCUUGACGGAGCAACUCCGCGUGAGUGAUGAAGGUCUUCGGAUCGUAAAGCUCUGUUAUUAGAGAAGAACAAAUGUGUAAGUAACUAUGCACGUCUUGACGGUACCUAAGCAGAAAGCCACGGCUAACUACGU